ensembl:lncRNA
GCGAAAGUUGCCCAAUCGGUGUCCGCAGUGGGGGAGAUGGAGCGCGAUGCGAGUGCUAUUCAAAAGAAAUGGGCAGACGUAAAAUCCCUCGUCAAAAAAAGCUGCUGAGAGGGCGUGGGAGAUGAAGAAGACAGGAGGAGGGAUGUCCUCUGUAAAACAGAGGACGGAACGCCUUGGAGGAGAGGAUUUUGGAAGUUAUAGGGGAAUCUCUGGUAGGAGGAGUUCAAGGAGGGGUAGACACUGGAGACCCCGGCGGAUACAACAGCUGUAUGCAGCUUCUACAGCAGAUACUGAACAGGCUAGUAGGCUACUGUCUGUGAACAGAGCCUACAUUCUACUACCUAACUAAUGGCCCAAUUUUCCUGAUUCU